rnacentral:ncRNA from 2 species
AUAAGAGUUAAAGCGCCAGGACUUUUUAAAAGUUGACGAGGACAGGGUUUAUCGAAUAAUCGGCGGAUGCCCUGCGUUUGACCAACGAUAUAAACCUUACAAAAACUAAAAGCAAUUUUAGUGACAAAAGGGUUAGGUCAUGGAU